rnacentral:rRNA from 1 species
UACGUAGGGUGCGAGCGUUGCCCGGAUUUAUUGGGCGUAAAGGGCGCGUAGGCGGUGAGAUGCGUCCGUUGUGAAAUCGCCCGGCUCAACUGGGCGGGGUCAGCGGAUACGGUCUCACUUGAGCAAGCUAGGGGGCAAUGGAAUUCCCGGUGUAGUGGUGGAAUGCGUAGAUAUCGGGAGGAACACCAGUGGCGAAGGCGGUUGCCUGGGGCUUUUCUGACGCUGAUGCGCGAAAGCGUGGGGAGCGAGCCGG